GUUUCUGUGGUUGAAUCACAACGUUGGUUUUUCAAGUCAAAAGUCUCGGUUGGAGUCCGGGCAGAAAUU
rnacentral:tRNA from 1 species